rnacentral:lncRNA from 1 species
AGAUAAGAGAGUAAAAGAAAGCAUGAAAACAGACUCAAAAAUAUAAAAAGUCUCCUCAAACAGCUCCUGAAGGCAACGGUCCUGGCUGGGAUGGUCAUAGGGCGUCUGUCAUACUCAAACUCUAGUAAGUGGAUCCAAAACUAAAUGAGAAGGAUAAGAACAAACAGAGUUAGUGACUUAAGACACUAUGUGAGCCAUAACGCCUCAUAUUGGACAUAUGCAAGACACGAUUGAGGUUAUUUUUGCAAACUGGCAUACAGGGCCAAAAGGUGGCUAGAAAUACAAAUUCAAUAAGGGUGACCUCUAAGAUAUGCAAACACCUCACGAAGGCCUAUAUGGCCUUAAACAUCAAGUAAGCAUAACCUCCAGAAGUACUUUGCAAAAAUGACCCCUUUGCAGAAUGGCCUAUGUGGCCAAAACUGGUUGAGCAUGCAAAUUCAACAGGAAUGGACCUUAACCUAAGAGGACACCUUGUUGUGGACUUAGAACUCUAAGACAUGAGUUAACAAGCCACUUUUGCAACAAUAUCCUUAUUUUGCAAAGACUAUCGAUGUUGUCAAAUGUGGCUAGACAUGCAAGAUUUGGCUACGACCCCCGAAUUCAAGAACUUGAGACUCGCUAGGAAGACCAUACCCUAUGUGGGUUGCCUACAUAUCCCGUCCUGAAAGACGAGAAUCAUGUAUGUGUAGUUCGGGAUGAUUGGACAUGGGAGAAAGCUUUGAAAAAUGCAACUAAUUUGGAAAAAACUAUUUUUGUCUUUUUUUGAAAAAAAAUAAGAAAGUGUAAAAUCCCCUUCUUUUUAUAAUGUUUUUAGAAAACUGGGCAGGAAAAUCAAAAAUGAUAAAACCCUCAAUAUUCUCGCUUACUUCUUUUUUUCUACCCUUCUUUUCAAAACAUCAGUCCGCCAAAUGACAUUUCUACCUUCAAAGAUGCAACAUUUAGCACAUAGGAUGAUUGUAUAUCCUUUUGGGCCAGCGGGCCCAUUUGACACAAUUUGGAUAGGCUUUGUAUAAAGGAACACGGUACCUAGGACCGGACCAUGCUAUGUCAUAAUGAUAUGAUGCAUAUAGUCGUGACCUAAAGGCUGACCUACGUUUGGGGUACACUAACAAGGCAAUUUGUGGGAGCGUAUGGUCGAGGUGGCUGCUCAAGCUUUCCACCCACUCCAUACGUCCGACAACCCCCUCUCCUAAAAUAAAGGUGACUCAACAAAGAAUUUGUGUACGCGAUGCGUACUACGAGACUUGUUGCAAAAAGAAUUGACCGGAUAAUGCAUAUGAUGACAGUUAUAAAGCAGUAACACAUAAAGAAAAAAUUUUAAAUACAUAAAUAACUAGCAAAUAAUAAAACGACAUAAACAAAAUAAAAAUCAAAUAAAGCAAAUAAAAAACAUAAAAACCUCAACCGAAUAUUCUUAAAAACCAACAAGAUCAAGUACCAGCUCGAAGCUACAAAUCCCCAAUAGAGUUGCCAAAGUUGUCACACCCUUUUUUUCACCUUAACCCUCUUUAAAAAAAAAAAGAUAAAAGUAAUUUUAAAGCUCAAAAGGGUUUUUAUUUAGAAAGUCACAAAAAAUUGUGUUUCAAAGGAUUUUUCGGAAUCCCCACUUAACAUUUGGUUUCGGUGUGCCCAGCCACCGUUUAAAAAAAUGAAUUUUUCCUUUUGAAAACACAUUUAGACUCUAAAACAUAGUCUGCACCAGAGAUUCUAAGUAAGGGGUUUCAUUUGACUCGGGAGAAGGUGUUAGGUAUUCCCUAAGUCUCGUGAAAGUCAUGGUUGCGUACUUGAUCUAGUUGGCUUUAAAGAAUACUCAAAAUGAUGCAAAAAUGCACGAAAGAAAAAAUACACAAGAGGCUCGAGGUCGUCCCCACCUAAAAAAAAGAAAAUAAAAUAAGAGAAAAAUACUAAGAGUCUAUACUAUGAUCACUCCACAAUGUCCGUCACGACCUCCAAUUACAUUCACUACGGGGCAUAUCCUGGAUAGAAAUAUAUAUAAAAUCUACAGGGCAUUCCCCCGAAUAUAAACUAGGGAACGACUUCUCACCUCGAAUAAAAAUAAAAUAAAAUAAAAGACCUAAGGUUUGCCUACCCAAGUGUGGUUGACCUAAACAUGCUCCUGCAGAUUUUAGGCAAGUAUAUAAACAAAAGUAAUAGAAGUCAGUACAUGCCCAAAUAUUCAAUUCUAUCUACAAGCCUAUAGUCCAUUAUUUAAUUUGUUUACUAAACAACUCAAAGCUCAAUACCAAUUAAUCAUGAUUAUCCCCAACACCCCAUUCACUGUCUCCAUUCAAUUUAAGCAUCAAUACAAUCACAAGGAAAGUAUUCAAAAAUUGUUGACAAUUAAAAAUUCAAACAACGACUCAACUCAAACAAAUCUGAAACGGAAAUUUACAACUCAAAAAUUCACAAAAUAACAAUUAAAGCAUGAAUUGCAAAUAAACACAAACAACUCACGGAAGAUAAACUGAAAAAAACAGAGGGAAGGGAAAGGAUGAACCUUAAGUGGAGCCAAAAAACUCUUUCAGAUUUGAUUAAUACUGAACCGACCACAUUUGAUUACUGCAGAGUUGAACUUCGACCUUCAAACUUGACCCAAUAAUGGACAGCGACAAGAACCUUAGACCGCAAAACUUUCGAUGGCAACCUCGACCGAAUGUUUACCAGAACUUUGACCAAACUCGACCCCUUUUGACGAUGAAAAGAUGUAGCUAAAAUGAGUGAUUGACGGAUGAUACAAAGUGGUUGAGCUACUGGUUUUUAAAUAUGGUUUCAUUGCUGAUUUUUUAUGGAAAAGGUGGCGUGUUUGGUGUUGAACUCGACCGACAAUCGCAGCUGCUACAUGGCUUCGUUUUGGGUCUGGUUGAGGUUGUUUUAAGCUGAUUCGGGGCGUUUUUUUGGAGCUGUUUUGCAGCUGCAUUUUGGCUAUUUAGAGGUGGUAUUUCAGCUGGUUUCUGGCA